AACGAACGCUGGCGGCAUGCUUAACACAUGCAAGUCGUACGGUAAGGCCCUUUCGGGGGUACCCGAGUGGCGAACGGCUUAGUAACCCGCGCGUAACCUGCCAACAACUUUCGGAUAACGCUAGGAAACUGGUGCUAAUACUGCAUACGUGACCCUGCUGCAUGGUGGGUGGUGGAAAGCUCCGGCGGUUUUGGAUGGACUUGAGGCCUAUCAGCUUGUUGGUGGCGUAGUGGCCUACCAAGGCGGCGACGGGUAGCCGGCCUGAGAGUGUGACCAGCCACAUUGAGACUGAGACACGGCCACGACUCCGACUGGAGGGAGCAGCGGGGAAGAGUGCACUAGGGGAGUAAGCGUGAUGCAGCUCCGGCGCGUGCGGGAGGACGGUGAUCGGGUUGUAAUCCGCUUUCAGCAGGAACGAAGCUUUUUGUGACGGUACCUGCAGAAUAAGCACCGGCUAACUACGUG
rnacentral:rRNA from 1 species